rnacentral:rRNA from 1 species
CUUUAAGGCCACAGGAUGACAUAUGAGUAAUCGUAUUAUCAAGUGCCCAUACAUCUUCGACAUUAAAUGUAGUCUGCACUCCGCUAUACUCGGUAACGCCGUGAGCUGCCGGG